rnacentral:rRNA from 1 species
AUUGAACGCUGGCGGCAUGCCUUACACAUGCAAGUCGAACGGUAACAGGUCUUCGGAUGCUGACGAGUGGCGAACGGGUGAGUAAUACAUCGGAACGUGCCCAGGCGUGGGGGAUAACGAGGCGAAAGCCUUGCUAAUACCGCAUACGAUCUAAGGAGGAAAGCAGGGGACCGCAAGGCCGUGCGCGUUUGGAGCGGGCGAUGGCAGAUUAUGUAGUUGGUGGGAUAAAAGCUUACCAAGCCGACGAUCUGUAGCUGGUCUGAGAGGACGACCAGCCACACUGGGACUGAGACACGGCCCAGACUCCUACGGGAGGCAGCAGUGGGGAAUUUUGGACAAUGGGCGCAAGCCUGAUCCAGCAAUGCCGCGUGCAGGACGAAGGCCUUCGGGUUGUAAACUGCUUUUGUACGGAACGAAAAGAUACUGGCUAAUACCUGGUGUUGAUGACGGUACCGUAAGAAUAAGCACCGGCUAACUACGUGCCAGCCGCCGCAGUAACAC